GUGGGGAAUAUUGCACAAUGGGCGCAAGCCUGAUGCAGCAACGCCGCGUGAGGGAUGACGGCCUUCGGGUUGUAAACCUCUUUUAGUAGGGAAGAAGCGUAAGUGAUGGUACCUGCAGAAAAAGCACCGGCUAACUACGUGCCAGCAGCCGCGGUAAUACGUAGGGUGCAAGCGUUGUCCGGAAUUAUUGGGCGUAAAGAGCUCGUAGGCGGCUUGUCGCGUCUGCCGUGAAAACCCAGGGCUCAACUCUGGGCGUGCGGUGGGUACGGGCAGGCUAGAGUGCGGUAGGGGAGAUUGGAAUUCCUGGUGUAGCGGUGGAAUGCGCAGAUAUCAGGAGGAACACCGAUGGCGAAGGCAGAUCUCUGGGCCGUAACUGACGCUGAGGAGCGAAAGCAUGGGGAGCGAACAGGAUUAGAAACCCGUGUAGUCC
rnacentral:rRNA from 1 species